GCGGGUAUAGUUUAGUGGUAAAAGUGUGAUUCGUUCCAUUAAUCCUUUAAUAGUUAAAGGGUACCUUCGGUUUGUUUGAUUAAUAUUCCGAUUAAAAACUUUAUUUCUUAAAAGGAUUAAAUCCUUUACCUCUAAAUCAAAGAUUAGAGGAAGAAUAGACAUUCUCGUGAUUUAUAUCCAAAAGAGUAAAUUAGAAAUAAAAAAAAAUUGGAUUAUGAGAUUACGAAACAUAAUUUAUUUUUAAUUGGAUCAAUACUUCCAAUUUUUUGAGUAUGAGUAAAGGAUCCAUGGAUAAACAAAGAAGGGAGUAUUUCUAAUCGUAACUAAAUCUUCAAUUUUAUGAUUUGUAUAAGAGAAAUUGAAGCAAAAUAGCUAUUAAACAAUGACUUUGGUUUACUAGAGACAUCGACAUAUUGUUUUAGCUCGGUAGGAACAAAAUGCUUUUCCUAAGGAUUAUUAAAAAUAGAAAUAGAGAACGAAGUAACUAGAAAGAUUGUUAUGAUCCCCCUCUUCUAUAGGGAUCAUCUAGAAAGUGGGUUGUUUUGAAUGCAUUCAAACAGAAAAGCUGACAUAGAUGUUAUGGGUCGAAAUUCUUUUUAUUUUUUUUUGUAAGUUCGUUUACAUCUGAUAUCUGUGGAAUUUACUCAUCUUCCAUAAAGGAGCCGAAUGAAACCAAAGUUUCACGUUCGGUUUUGAAUUAGAGACGUUAAAAAUGAUGAAUCAACGUCGACUAUAACCCCUAGCCUUCCAAGCUAACGAUGCGGGUUCGAUUCCCGCUACCCGCU
rnacentral:tRNA from 1 species